GAUGAAGAACGUAGCGAAAUGCGAUAAGUAGUGUGAAUUGCAGAAUUCAGUGAAUCAUCGAAUCUUUGAACGCACAUUGCGCCCUUUGGUAUUCCAAAGGGCAUGCCUGUUCGAGCGUCAUUUGUACCCUCAAGCUUUGCUUGGUGUUGGGCGUCUUGUCUCUAGCUUUGCUGGAGACUCGCCUUAAAGUAAUUGGCAGCCGGCCUGCUGGUUUCGGAGCGCAGCACAAGUCGCACUCUCUAUCAGCAAAGGUCUAGCAUCCAUUAAGCCUUUUUUUCAACUUUUGACCUCGGAUCAGGUAGGGAUACCCGCUGAACUUAAGCAUAUCAAUAGCGGAGGA
rnacentral:misc_RNA from 1 species